UCGGCGGCGGUGCGGUGCUGGACGGCCGGCCGGCCGCGCCGGUCGACCGCGAACUCGCCGUCGCGGUGGCCGGGUUCGGCCACCCGCCGCUGGCC
rnacentral:tRNA from 1 species